UGAAUACGAGAUGCUACGGCGUCGAAGCAGUCUAUGUCAUACUUCCAAGAAAAGCUCGCACUGUCAUAAACAAAUAAUGCCUGUACCAUAACCGACACAGGUGGGUAGGUAGAGUAUACUAAGGGGCGCGAGAUAACUCUCUCUAAGGAACUCGGCAAAAUGACUCCGUAACUUCGGGAGAAGGAGUGCCUUAUUUAUAAGGUUGCAAUAACAAGAUCCAAGCAACUGUUUAUCAAAAACACAGGUCUCCGCUAAGUCGUAAGACGAUGUAUGGGGGCUGACGCCUGCCCAGUGCCAGAAGGUUAAAGAAGUUGGUUAGCAUUCGCGAAGCUGAUAACUGAAGCCCUGGUGAACGGCGGCCGUAACUAUAACGGUCCUAAGGUAGCGAAAUUCCUUGUCGGGUAAGUUCCGACCCGCACGAAAGGCGUAAUGAUUUGGAUACUGUCUCGGAGAGGGGCUCGGUGAAAUAGACUUGUCUGUGAAGAUGCGGACUACCUGCACCAGGACAGAAAGACCCUAUGAAGCUUUACUGUAACUUGAGAUUGAAAUUGGACUUUACUUGCGCAGUAUAGGUGGGAGGCGUUGAUAAUAUUCUUGCGGGAUUAUUUGAGCCAUCAGUGAGAUACCACUCUUGUAAUGUUAGAUUUCUAACUUUGUAUCAUUAUCUGGUCAAAGGACAGUUUCAGGCGGGCAGUUUGACUGGGGCGGUCGCCUCCUAAACGGUAACGGAGGCGCACAAAGGUUUCCCCUGUACGGGUAGAAAUCGUAUCUAGAGUGUAAAGGCAUAAGGAAGCUUGACUGUGAGACCUACAAGUCGAGCAGGGACGAAAGUCGGUCUUAGUGAUCUGACGGUGCUGAGUGGAAAGGCCGUCACUCAACGGAUAAAAGUUACUCUAGGAUAACAGGCUGAUCUCCCCCAAGAGUUCACAUCGACGGGGAGGUUUGGCACCUCGAUGUCGGCUCAUCGCAUCCUGGGGCGGUAGUACGUCCCAAGGGUUGGGCUGUUCGCCCAUGAAAGCGGUACGCGAGCUGGGUUCAGAACGUCGUGAGACAGUUCGGUCCAUAUCCGGUGUAGGCGUUAGAAUAUUGAGAGGAGCCUUCUUUAGUACGAGAGGACCGAGAAGGACAUACCUCUGGUGUACCAGUUAUCGUGCCAACGGUAAACGCUGGGUAGCUAUGUAUGGAGUGGAUAACCGCUGAAAGCAUCUAAGUGGGAAGCCCACCUCAAGAUAAGUAUUCUCAUC
rnacentral:rRNA from 1 species